rnacentral:rRNA from 1 species
GACGAACGCUGGCGGCGCGCUUAACACAUGCAAGUCGAACGGAAAGGCCUGCUUUCCCUUGUGGAUUGCGGGUACUCGAGUGGCGAACGGGUGAGUAACACGUGAGUGAUCUGCCCCCAACUUGGGUAUAAGCCUGGGAAACUGGGUCUAAUUCCCGAUAGGACUGCAGGGUGGUGCCUGUGGUGGAAAACGAUUUUCUAGUGGUUGGGGAUGAGCUCGCGGCCUAUCAGCUUGUUGGUGGGGUAAUGGCCUACCAAGGCGGCGACGGGUAGCCGGCCUGAGAGGGUGGACGGCCACAUUGGGACUGAGAUACGGCCCAGACUCCUACGGGAAGCAGCAGUGGGGAAGAUUGCACAAUGGGCGGAAGCCUGAUGCAGCGACGCCGCGUGGGGGAUGACGGCCUUCGGGUUGUAAACUCCUUUCGACCGCGAGGAAGCCACCUGGUUGGAAGGGUGGUGACGGUAGUGGUAGAAGAAGCACCGGCUAACUACGUG